GAGGGUAUAGCUCAGUGGCAGAGUGUGUACUGAGCAUUCACGAGGUCCUGGGUUCAAUCCCUAGUACCUCUG
rnacentral:tRNA from 1 species